rnacentral:rRNA from 1 species
UAAUACGUAGGGGCCGAGCGUUGUCCGGAGUUAUUGGGCGUAAAGCGCGCGCAGGCGGCUUCGCGCGUCCGACGUGAAAGCCCCCGGCUUAACCGGGGAGGGUCGUUGGGUACGGCGGAGCUUGAGGGCGGGAGAGGGUGGUGGAAUUCCCGGUGUAGUGGUGAAAUGCGUAGAGAUCGGGAGGAACACCUGUGGCGAAGGCGGCCACCUGGGCCGACCCUGACGCUGAGGCGCGAAGGCGUGGGGAGCGAACGGGAUUAGAUACCCCGGUAGUCCACGCAGUAAACGAUGCAGACUAGGCGUAGGUGGACUUGACCCCAUCUGUGCCGGAGCUAACGCGGUAAGUCUGCCGCCUGGGGAGUACGGCCGCAAGGCUA